UUAGAUUUUACAUUUCUACAUCUCUGGACCUUCGUACCUGAAACUUUCUCCACCAACUCUUCGGUAUCUCUCCUGCUGCUGACUCUAGAACUCAUCUCUCUCCUGUCAUUCAGAUCAACAUGAAGAUCUCUAUCUUUGCUGGUGUUCUGCUGAUCUCUGCUGCUCUCAUGUUCCUCGGACCAGAACCUGCAGAUGCUACGUACUUAAAGCGUUGCAGGCCAGUGAUUUAUCCUCGCCCGAUAUCCCCAUGGAUAAAACCGCAAAUAUGCAAGCCCAAUCCGUGGUUAUGCAAGGG